UCUACUAAAAAUAUGAAAAAUUAGCCGGGCGUGGUGGCAGGCACCUGUAAUCCCAGCCGAAAUUGCACCACCGCACUCCAAACUGGGUGACGAGAGUGAGACGUCUCCCCCUCAAAAAAAAAGUCUAUCUCUAAGCAGCUAAGACACACACUUGAAUAACGUUAUCAAAUUCAGACUUGCCACCUAGGUAUGAACUAUCAAAAUAUCAUAUUUAGGUUAAUUAGUAUCUUAAGGACAAAAUUAAUUUUUAAAAAAAAGUCAAACAGUAGGCCAGGCAUGGUGGCUCACACCUGUAAUCCCAGCAUGUUGGGAGGGCAAGGCAGGAGGAUCACUUGCACACAGCAGUUCCAGACCAGUGUAGGCAACAUGGUGAGACCCUGUCUCUACAAAAUCUUUUUUUUUUAAUUAGCUGGGCAUGUUGGUACAUGCCCGUAGUCCCAGCUACUCAGGAGGCUGAGGCAGGAGGAUGGCUUGAGCACAGUAGGUUGAGGAUGCUGUGAGCCAUGAUCAUGCCACUGCACCCCAGCCAAGGCAACAGAGAAAAAAAUAAAAUAAAAAUAAAUGUAAAAAGUAAAACAGUCCAGACAUGGUGGCUGAUGCCUGUAAUCCCAACACUUUGGGAGGCCAAGGCAGGAGGAUCACUUGAGGCCAGGAGUUCGAGAUCAGCUUGGGGAACAUAGAGAGACCUCAUCUCUACAAAAAAAAUGAAAUAAAAAUAAGUGAAACAGGGGACUAACCAAAAUGAAAGAUGAAACAAUCAAAAAAAAUCAGGGAAAGAAGGCAGUAAUGCAAUAAAAAAUAGAAUUUAACAAAGCUUAAAGGGCAAAGGUGUGAUUAAUGACAUUCCUAAAUACAACUGAAAAUAUAUGUAGAACUGCAUAAAUUACGCAAUUGUUGCCAAAAUGAAUAAAACUUCAUUUGAGUGAAAGUAUAUUUAAUAUCCUACACUUAUGCCUAACACCAAAAAAGGUUAAAUCAGAAAAUAUUACCAGGAGAACACAUUAGUUUGAAAUAGAACAGAGACAACACUUAGUCUAUUUCAUAGGCAUGAAGAUAAACCAAAAGGUACUAUAACAGGAACUGAAAAAUGCAAACCAAUAAGAAAUCAGUUAAGAGAUUCCUUUAGAAAAAAAAAAAAACAAAACCAACUUAUUUAUUUAUUUUUUUAAUAGAGACAAGGUCUCACUAUGUUGCGCAGGCUGGUCUCAAACUCCUGACCUCAGAUUAUCCACCCGUCUCGGCCUCCCAAAGUGCUGGGAUUACAGGCAUGAGCCACUGCACCUGGCCAAGAGAUUCUUAGACUGAGCAUCAAGGAGUUAAAUUCUCACAGCAGAGCAGCCUGGGAAACAAAGCAAGACACUGUCUCUACAAAAAAUACAAAAAUUAGCUGAGUGUGGUGGCAAAUACCUGUAUUCCCAGCUACUCAGGAGGCUGAGGCAGAAGGAUCACCUGAGCCUGGGGAGGUAAAGGCUGCAGUGGCCUGUGAUCACACCACUGUACUCCAUACUGGCAACAGAGUAAGACCUUGUCUCGAAAAAAAAAAAUUCCCAUGGAAAACUAUUCUGUAAUUAAAUACUGAAAUGAGCACUGUAUGCAGAAGAGAUAAUAUGCCUGAGACUGUUAUUCUCAGUCCUGUUUGCAAGGCUGACUCUCGGCUAGCAUCUAGGAACUCUUAUUUUUGGAGGGUUCCCCCCAUUCCAUAAGUAAGAGUCUUCACUGUGCCAAAACUGUGCAAACAAUAUAGUUCGUUGUUGUUGUUGUUGUUUAAGACAGGGUCUCACUCUGUCGCCCAGGGUGCAGUGCAAUCGUGCAAUCGGCUCACAGCAACUUCCGCCGCCUCCUGGGUUCAAGCGAUUCUCCUGCCUCGGCCAACUGAGUAGCUGGAAUUACAGGCAUGCACCACCACGCCUGGCUAAUUUUGUAUUUUUAGUGGAAUCGGGGUUUCACCACGUUGGCCAGGCUGGUCUCAAACUCCUGACCUCAAGUGAUCUGCGUGCCUCGGCCUCCCAAAGUGCUGGGAUUACAGGUGUGAGCCACCACACCAGGCCUAAACAACAUGGUUUUGCUGAACACUUGUUUUCCUUCUGGGAGUCUGGAAUUUUAGUUUGUGGUAGGCAAAUGGUGCCUAUAUGACCAAUGUCCAAGAAAAACCCUGGGCACUGAGUUUUUAAUGAGCUUCUCUGGCAGACAAGAUUUCACAUGUGUUGUCACAAUUCACCACUGCAAGAAUUAAGCACAUCACAUGUGACAACAUUGGGAAAGGACUCUCAGAAACUUGUGCCUAGUUUCUUUCAGAAAUUGCACCAAGUGCUAUUUUUCUUGUUGAUUUUACUUUGUAUCCUUUCACUGUGUGUCUGUAUAUUUUUUUAAAGAUGGAUUCUUGCC
rnacentral:lncRNA from 1 species